rfam:Hymenolepis microstoma genomic scaffold, pathogens_HYM_contig_0167
GUUGGUUACGGAGACAUGAGUCCAACCACCGCCUGGGGUCAGGUAAUUGGAUCUGGAUGUGCACUUUGCGGAGUACUCGUAUUGGCUAUGCCCAUCCCCAUCAUUGUGAAUAAC